UAUAACACUACACGGAUCAUAUACACACGGAUCAUAUACGUAUUACACUACGACCUUACCCUACUCUCCUAAACCACAACAGCCUCCAUCGAACCUAUUCUCAUCCGUCUCCAUGGCUGCCGACCUCCCCCACCGAAGACGUCCCAUCAUCAAACCAAAGAAGAUCGAAAAAUCUUUAAGAGCUGGCCUGAAAGGAAACUCCUACAAAUUCCUCUUCGGAGACCUGAAAGAGAUGACACAGAUGUCUCAGCGCCUAUGGGUUUACUUCUCCCUCUAUCUCCCUCUCGCCUCUCUUUCUCUCUUUCAGUCGCCAUCAGCAGGAAAUGGAAGCCCUCUUCUUUCCGUCUCCUUCCUAAUCAACUUGACAAGCGUUUCUACUCAUGCCUUUCUGUUGAUCCCAUCCAUUUCGGGGAGCCGGAUUGAGAGGGAUCUACCGAAAUCCUAAUUUCAAAUUAUCAGCAAUGGCUAAGCGUGAAUUGUCAAGCACAUUGAAAAACUUGAAGGGAUAAUAAUCCUGGUAGGCCUAUUCCUUCUACCAAGGCAAUGUCUAUGAUGGGCCUUUAUGACACGACUUAUUGGUUAUCAUGGCUUACUCGGCACUCACCAUCUCCACAACCUGUGGUCUCCCAUCAUGGGCAUCAGUCGUUUGUGGUGACAUGUCUCAUCAAGAUAGAUAUUGGGCACUGUUAUUUGUUCCCACAGAUGUUGAUACACAAGACCUUGACAUCAAGGAUGUAAGGGUGGUGAAUAAUUAUGAUUUUCUGAAUGGUAUUGAGGAUUAUGUCCACCGAAUCAGAAUAACUAGGAGGCAGGGUAUUGGAAUAGUUUGGGUUUUGUUGUGAAAAAGUUUGAUUUUCAAGGGCAUAUUUGUCCAAAAAUAUUAGUAUUAGAAAUAAUAGUAAUGAUUAAUCUGGAGUAUGGAAGAGUUUUUUAAAUGAAGGGGUAUUUUUGGAAUAAAAUAAAAGUGCAGGAAAAACAUGAAUACUUUGAGAAAAAAUGAUUUAUUAAAAAUUCAAUUUUAUUCUGCAUUA